GAUGAACGCUAGCGGCAGGCCUAACACAUGCAAGUCGAGGGGCAGCAUAGUAAGUAGCAAUACUUGCGGAUGGCGACCGGCGCACGGGUGCGUAACGCGUAUGCAACCUACCCGUAACAGGGGGAUAAUCCGAAGAAAUUUGGUCUAAUAUCCCAUAAUAUGACCGAGGGCAUCCUUGGUGAUUGAAAGAUUCGUUGGUUACGGAUGGGCAUGCGUUGUACUAGCUAGUUGGUAAGGUAACGGCUUACCAAGGCUACGAUACAUAGGGGAACUGAGAGGUUAACCCCCCACACUGGUACUGAGACACGGACCAGACUCCUACGGGAGGCAGCAGUGAGGAAUAUUGGUCAAUGGACGGAAGUCUGAACCAGCCAUGCCGCGUGCAGGAUGACGGCUCUAUGAGUUGUAAACUGCUUUUAUGCUAGGGUAAACUCGGGUACGUGUACCCGACUGAAAGUAUAGCAAGAAUAAGGAUCGGCUAACUCCGUGCCAGCAGCCGCGGUAAUACGGAGGAUCCAAGCGUUAUCCGGAUGUAUUGGGUUUAAAGGGUGCGUAGGCUGCUCGAUAAGUUAGAGGUGAAAAUUCGUCGCUUAACGACGGACGUGCCUCUGAUACUGUCGGGCUAGCGAGAGAGUGCUGUGGGCGGAAUGUGUAGUGUAGCGGUGAAAUGCUUAGAGAUUACACAGAACACCGAUUGCGAAAGCAGCUCACAAACUCUUUUCGGACGCUGAGGCACGAAAGCGUGGGGAGCAAACAGGAUUAGAUACCCUGGUAGUCCACGCUGUAAACGAUGAUUACUCGUUGUCGGCGAUAUAGCGAUCGGUGACUAAGCGAAAGCGAUAAGUAAUCCACCUGGGGAGUACGUUGGCAACAAUGAAACUCAAAGGAAUUGACGGGGGCCCGCACAAGCGGAGGAACAUGUGGUUUAAUUCGAUGAUACGCGAGGAACCUUACCCGGGCUUGAAAGUAGUGACAGUCUCUGAAAGGA
rnacentral:rRNA from 1 species